UGGGUUAAGUCCCCGCAAGAAGAGCAAAGCCCUAUUCAUUUGUUGCCAGCACGUCAAGGUGGGAACUCAAAAUGAGACUGCCGCGGACAACGCGGAGGAAGGCGGGGAUGACGUCAAGUCAUCAUGCCCCUUAUGUCCUGGGCUACACACGUACUACAAUGGGAUGGACAGAGAGCAGCGAACCCGCGAGGGCAAGCGAACCCCAUAAACCAUCUCCCAGUUCGGAUUGCAGGCUGCAACCCGCCUGCAUGAAGUCGGAAUCGCUAGUAAUCGCUGGUCAGCAUACAGCGGUGAAUACGUUCCCGGGCCUUGUACACACCGCCCGUCACACCACGGAAGUCAUUCACACCCGAAGCCGGUGGGCAAACCGCAAGGAUGCAGCCGUCUAAGGUGGGGGCG
rnacentral:rRNA from 1 species